rnacentral:rRNA from 1 species
GUAGGCCGCAGAGAAUAGGCACAAGCAACUGUUUAACAAAAACACAGGUCUCUGCUAAAGCGUAAGCUGAUGUAUAGGGGCUGACGCCUGCCCGGUGCUGGAAGGUUAAGGGGAACACUUAGCGCAAGCGAAGGUGUGAACUUAAGCCCCAGUAAACGGCGGCCGUAACUAUAACGGUCCUAAGGUAGCGAAAUUCCUUGUCAGGUAAGUUCUGACCCGCACGAAUGGCGUAAUGACUUGUGCACUGUCUCAACUGUGAAUCCGGCGAAGUUGUAGUGCGAGUGAAGAUGCUCGCUACCCGCGAUUGGACGGAAAGACCCCGUAGAGCUUUACUGUAGCUUAGCAUUGAAUUUCGGUAUUGUCUGUACAGGAUAGGUGGGAGACUGGGAAAUUAGGGCGUCAGCCUUAAUGGAGUCGUUGUUGGGAUACCACCCUGAUAGUAUUGAAGUUCUAACUGGAUGCCAUGAAACUGGUGACAGGACAUUGUUAGGUGGGCAGUUUGACUGGGGCGGUCGCCUCCUAAAAUGUAACGGAGGCGCCCAAAGGUUCCCUCAGAACGGUCGGAAAUCGUUCGUAGAGUGUAAAGGCAUAAGGGAGCCUGACUGCGAGACCUACAAGUCGAGCAGGGACGAAAGUCGGGCUUAGUGAUCCGGUGGUACCUCGUGGGAGGGCCAUCGCUCAACGGAUAAAAGCUACCUCGGGGAUAACAGGCUGAUCUCCCCCAAGAGUUCACAUCGACGGGGAGGUUUGGCACCUCGAUGUCGGCUCGUCGCAUCCUGGGGCUGAAGUAGGUCCCAAGGGUUGGGCUGUUCGCCCAUUAAAGCGGCACGCGAGCUGGGUUCAGAACGUCGUGAGACAGUUCGGUCCCUAUCCGUCGCGGGCGUAGGAAAUUUGAGAGGAGCUGUCCUUAGUACGAGAGGACCGGGAUGGACUGACCUAUGGUGUACCAGUUGUUUCGCCAGAAGCAUAGCUGGGUAGCUAAGUCGGGAAGGGAUAAACGCUGAAAGCAUCUAAGUGUGAAGCCCACCUCAAGAUGAGAUUUCCCAUAGCAUAAGCUAGUAAGACCCCUUGAAGACUACAAGGUUGAUAGGUCAGAGGUGUAAGUGCGGUAACGUAUUUAGCUGACUGAUACUAAUAGGUCGAGGGCUUGACCAA